rnacentral:rRNA from 1 species
CGGAGGGGCGUAGCGUUGUUCGGAAUUACUGGGCGUAAAGCGCACGUAGGCGGAUCAGAAAGUCAGAGGUGAAAUCCCACGGGCUCAACCUUGGAACUGCCUUUGAAACUUCUGAUCUUGAGAUCGAGGGAGGUGAGUGGAAUUCCGAGUGUAGAGGUGAAAUUCGUAGAUAUUCGGAGGAACACCAGUGGCGAAGGCGGCUCACUGGCUCGAUACUGACGCUGAGGUGCGAAAGCGUGGGGGAGCAAACAGGAUU